rnacentral:lncRNA from 1 species
AAGAUACCACUGAACUACAUGGGGACUGGGAAGACACCAGAAGAGAGGGAACAGGAAGUCUGGUCUCAUGUAACCCUAUGGAGCUGAAGAUGACCUUGAACUUCUGGGCCUCCUGCCUAUACCUAGAAUUACUAGUGUAUGCUACAAUGCUUUUAUGUGGUACUGGAGGCUGAACUAGACAAGCACUCUAUCAACUGAGCUACAGCCCCAGCCUGGAGGACAAUAUCUUAUAAGCCGUUUCUUGAUCAGGACACCAUCUCUUUGCCACUGCUGAGGAAGACGUGAGCAGCAGCCCGAUCAGGAGACCGUGUCAUCUUAAGCACUACAGCGCAGGCAUAGCCACUGAGCUAAGGCCUCUCACGUGCUUAGCUGCUUCAGCACACGGCAUGGACCAGGUGCAGAGCUUCCACAGUUGCCGGGUCUGCUGACAGCCUGGCUGUGCUAAGAGGAAGGAGCAUGAUGCUGGACCUGAGGGACACUGGUAAAUC